AUGUAUGUGCAGGGUAAAGCUGGUGUAGAGCACACAAGGUCUUGCCGUUGCGAGUGCUCAGCUCUAAUGAGACUUCUGAGGACCAAGGAUAACGGAUGGUACAUUGUAGAACAUAGAAAAAGUCACAGCCACUCGCUUUCGCCAAACUUCGUCGAGACAAUGCACUGGCCUUCGCACAAGCACAUUGAUGUGUACAACAGGGAUUUUAUAAAGCAGUUGAGGCAGAACGAUGUGAACCUUGUGAAGUAGUACAACAUCGCAGGAGAGUUCUUUGGGUCGAUGGAAAAUGUGUCGUUUGCAAAGAGGUCUUUAUAGAGUCUGCGUGGGAAGAUAAAUAGGGGGCAGUCAGACGAUCGUGUCAGGAAGAGGAUGGAGGUGUUUGCAGAAAUUGGUGCAAAGGAUCCACAUUUCACUUAGAGAAUUCAGGCUGACAAUGAAGGAAGCAUCAGAAACCUAAUGUGGGAGAGUGGAAGCGGCCGCUUCAUCCUGGCAGGGGUGCUAGUACCUGAUGAGACUGCUAAAUGUUUCGAGUGGGUGUUCUCAGAAUUUCUGAGAAUGAUGGGUGGUACAACGCCUGAUGACAAUACUUACUGGUAUGCUUUAUUCAACUGCUGUGGCAAAUGGAAAAUGUGGAUACCAUUAAUUUGGUGUUAUCAUAGUAACUAG
rnacentral:rRNA from 1 species